GGAAGGCUCUACACCACUCUCUCACUUGAAUGAAAUCCUGCAACUAGUGAGGUCUGGCUGCCUGCUCGACCCCACCACUUCCUCCAGACCAUCUCUGGAGACCUCACUUCCCUCAACUCAUCCCUGACCACUGGCUGCGUCCCCUCCAACUUCAAAAUGGCCCGAUUCGCUCCCCUCAAGAAAGCAACAAACUACAGACCAGUAUUAUUUUCUUUCCAAAACACUUGAGUGUGCUGUCUCUGACAAUCUCUUUCUCUCUCAGAAUGAUCUUCUUGACCCAAACCAGUCAGGCUUCAAGACAGGUCAAUCAACUGAGACUGCUCUUCCAUGUGUCAGAGGAUCUCCACACUGCCAAAGUUGACUCUCUCCUCUGACACUGUGAACCAUCAGAUCCUCCUCUCCACCCUCUCAGAGCUGGGUGUCUCAGGCUCUGCACACUCUUGGACUGCAUCCUACCUGGCAGGCUGCUCCUACCAGAUGUGGAGCGGAUCUGUGUCUGCACCAUGUACCUUCACUACUGGUGUCCCCCAGGGUUUGAAUCUUGGCCGUCUCCUCU
rnacentral:lncRNA from 1 species